rnacentral:rRNA from 1 species
GACGAACGCUGGCGGCGUGCUUAACACAUGCAAGUCGAACGGUGAAGGGGAGCUUGCUCCCCGGAUCAGUGGCGAACGGGUGAGUAACACGUGGGCAACCUGCCCCAGACUUCGGGAUAACGCUUCGAAAGAGGUGCUAAUACCGGAUACGAACCCCCAGGGCAUCCCGGGGGUUGGAAAGUUCUUCGGUCUGGGAUGGGCCCGCGGCCUAUCAGCUUGUUGGUGAGGUAACGGCUCACCAAGGCGACGA